rnacentral:rRNA from 1 species
GAUGAACGCUAGCGACAGGCUUAACACAUGCAAGUCGAGGGGCAGCGGUGGUGAAGGCUUGCCUUCACCAGCCGGCGACCGGCGCACGGGUGAGUAACACGUAUCCAACCUGCCGAUGACUCGGGGAUAGCCUUUCGAAAGAAAGAUUAAUACCCGAUGGCAUAGUUCUUCCGCAUGGUAGGACUAUUAAAGAAUUUCGGUCAUCGAUGGGGAUGCGUUCCAUUAGCUUGUUGGCGGGGUAACGGCCCACCAAGGCAUCGAUGGAUAGGGGUUCUGAGAGGAAGGUCCCCCACAUUGGAACUGAGACACGGUCCAA